rnacentral:lncRNA from 1 species
CUUGGUCCUCCAAGAUCAACUAGUUAUCAUAAAAACACGAGACAACACCCUAGUUUCCAGACUGUGCUUGAUUUAAAUCUAUUAGAGAAGAGGUGUUGACCUGGUUAGCUAUCAAGUUACCACACGGGAAUGUUGGAGCCAUCUUGCCAUAUAUUCACAGGAAGCACUUGAAGAACACUCAAAAGGAGGUUGUAGCAGCCUUGUGGGGAGCACUGGUAUAUCAUACAUGGAGGGGUCGUAAUCGAAAGUUGUUCAAUGGACAAAUUGUAUAUACAGAGAUGGUCAUUACACAGAUUAAGCAGGAAUUAGUAGAUAGGCUGAGUAUUCCUUGUCUUUACAAAAGAUUGACUAGAUGUAGUGAUUUGA